rnacentral:tRNA from 1 species
GUCAAGGUAGCUCAAUAGUAGAGCAGCGAAAAAAUCGUUGGGGUUACUUCCCUAUUACGGCGCGGAUGCGGGUGCAAGUCCCGUCCUUGACCCCA